rnacentral:lncRNA from 1 species
CUCCGAGGCGCAUUUCUCAAUUUCUCAAUCGCCGGGCUGCUCCCGCACACAAUGCCGAGAGGGCUCUGGCAGAGGCAUGAAAGGCUUUAAAUAGAAACCAGCGUUUCUCCCUGCGCUGCACACAAUGCUUCCCUGACCCUCCGCCGACCUCACCCUCAAAUCUGGGGUUCACAGCCCCAGCCUUGAACCCGGCUCUGUUUUUUCAUGUUUGGCCUCUCUAUUUCCUGAGGAAAGGCCUGAGGAAGAAAGUUCAUGGCGCAGGAAGCUGAGGGAGCCAGCCCGGCAUCCCGGCGGGGCGAGGUGCUCUCACCUUGCGGAACGCGGGGAUUGCGACACCCGAGCAAAGAGAAGACGCUCCCAGUGUCAGCAGCUCUCCAGAAGUCUCAAGAGGCAGAGGGAUCCAACCGGCACGGCAGCAGCUUCCCUGAUGGUCUCUUAUUUAUUUCCUCCUCUAUUUAUUUGAUGGCAUUUUCUUUAUUGGAAGAAGUUCCUGGGCUUUGCUCUCCCCUGUCACAGCUGCCCAGUGCGGGGGCUGUGGGAGGAGAGGGCAGAGGGUGGCACAUCAAACAGCUCGAGGGAUGGAGUGAUGGAUGGAGGCUGCCCUGUGAUUAAUAAUCAAACCAAGAGCUUUUACUGGGCGUCAUGUGGAAAAUGUGGCUUUGGAAACAUUUGUCUUCAUCCCACAAACAACAAGUGGUGUUUCUUUCCCUUUCUUUGUUUCUCUCCC